rnacentral:SRP_RNA from 1 species
GGAGGCUGGUGAUGGACGCACCAUCCGCCAACCGGGUCAGGUUCGGAAGAAAGCAGCCCUAACGGAUUUGGCGCGGGUCGUCAUCCAGUCUCCUAC